rnacentral:misc_RNA from 1 species
GAUGAAGAACGUAGUGAAAUGCGAUAAUUAAUGUGAAUUGCAGAAUUCAGUGAAUCAUCGAGUCUUUGAACGCACAUUGCGCCCCCUGGUAUCCCGGGGGGCAUGCCUGUCCGAGCGUCAUUGCUGCCCUCAAGCACGGCUUGUGUGUUGGGCUUCCGUCCCUGGCAACGGGGACGGGCCCAAAAGGCAGUGGCGGCACCAUGUCUGGUCCUCGAGCGUAUGGGGCUUUGUCACCCGCUCCCGUAGGUCCAGCUGGCAGCUAGCCUCGCAACCAAUCUUUUUAACCAGGUUGACCUCGGAUCAGGUAGGGAUACCCGCUGAACUUAAGCAUAUCAAUAAGCGGAGGA